AAAAAGUUAUAGAGCGAUUAUGCACCCUUGGGUCACCCUGUAUAUACCAUGUAUGGUUUAAAACAUAUCAGUUUUAACAUACAGUUUUACUAACACUGGCAAGGUAAAAGAAAUAAAAAUAGGAAAUUAAUUUUAGAAAAUCUUAAUAUCCGCUGAUGUUUUUAAAGCAGUUUUCUCGGCGAAAAUAGAUUUCUUAGAACACUUUAUACAGGCUGCUCAAAAACUGGCGCACCAACUUAGUGGUACGUUAUUAAGAAGCAAGUGCAGAUUUCGGGACAAAUGUUGAAAAAAUUCCUAAAGUCAUAUUUUAAAAAAUCUGGAGCUACAAACUUAUUGUGUUAACUUCUUUAGUUUUCAUUAUUUUUUUAUGUUUUUAUGUUUUAUACCAGGUAAUCGUUCCGUAACAAAACGAUGAAUAAUUAUUUUUGAAUUUACUAUCAGAUUUUAGCAGUUUUUUUAAUUAAAAAAAAUUAAAAUUUAUCAAAAAAAUCACAAUGUGUAGAUGUGCCAACACUGGGAAUUAUUUCCUAGGAAACCGUUUCAAAAAUAAUUUAUUUUUAUUGUUGCUCAAAUUCUAUUGCGAUCAUGACUGUUAGACAACGUUGCCACAUAUCAUUUAUCUAAAAUCCGUUAUUUAUCAAUAACUUUAAUACAAAGAAUUUUUUUACUAUUUUUACCUUUAUAUCUAACCAGUUCUCUACCACACACCAUUGAGUUGGUGCGCCAGUUUUUGAGCACGCUGUAUACAUGUAGCUCCAAAUAAUAAAUUUCUGUAUGAUUAUUAGUUUUUAAGAUACUUACAGUAAAAAUGCACUUUUAGUAGCCUCACCCUGUAUAACUGUUAAUUGAAGAAUUCCACUGAAAAGUAUGAAAGGUUUGAAAAUUGGCCAAUUUCUAAACCAAAUAAUCUGACCAAAAAGUUGUUGACCCAAACGUGACAUAUCAAUAAUAACACAAAGCGGAACAUUUGUUUAUUUAACAUUCUUGCGGUUUCACUACCACGAAGGAAUUUGUUGUUUGGUCUUCCUCGUAAAAUAUCAAGUCAUCGGUUUGUUGCGAACUUUGAAACGCUGAUUUUUGGAGCUGCCACAGCAUAAAAGGAAUGAGGAAAGUUCUGUGCCCACGACAGUACGAAUUAACAUGGUAAAAAAAUCGAUGGAGAAAGUUUACAUCAUGGGAUAUUCCAGAGUUUUAUGUUGCUGAUAUGGACGCGAAAUGGACUUCUACGAAAAAAACUGAUAACAACGAAUGUAAAGUCACAUUUAUGUCGGGUUUUUUAAUAAAGUCAAUGUUUGCAAAAUAAUCUAAGCUUUUAA